UACGGGGGAGCAAGCGUUGUUCGGAUUUACUGGGCGUAAAGGGCGCGUAGGCGGUCGUGACAAGUCACUUGUGAAAUCUCCGGGCUUAACUCGGAACGGUCAAGUGAUACUGUCGGACUAGAGUACAGAAGGGGCAACUGGAAUUCUCGGUGUAGCGGUGAAAUGCGUAGAUAUCGAGAGGAAUACCUGCGGCGAAGGCGGGUUGCUGGGCUGAUACUGACGCUGAGGCGCGAAAGCCAGGGGAGCGAACGGG
rnacentral:rRNA from 1 species